rnacentral:rRNA from 1 species
GAUGAACGCUAGCUACAGGCUUAACACAUGCAAGUCGAGGGGAAACGACAUCGAAAGCUUGCUUUUGAUGGGCGUCGACCGGCGCACGGGUGAGUAACGCGUAUCCAACCUGCCCACCACUUGGGGAUAACCUUGCGAAAGUAAGACUAAUACCCAAUGAUAUCUCUAGAAGACAUCUGAAAGGGAUUAAAGAUUUAUCGGUGAUGGAUGGGGAUGCGUCUGAUUAGCUUGUUGGCGGGGUAACGGCCCACCAAGGCGACGAGCAGUAGGGGUUCUGAGAGGAAGGGCCCCCACAUUGGAACUGAGACACGGUCCAAACUCCUACGGGAGGCAGCAGUGAGGAAUAUUGGUCAAUGGGCGAGAGCCUGAACCAGCCAAGUAGCGUGCAGGAUGACGGCCCUAUGGGUUGUAAACUGCUUUUAUAAGGGAAUAAAGUGGGAGUCGUGACUCUUUUUGCAUGUACCUUAUGAAUAAGGACCGGCUAAUUCCGUGCCAGCCGCCGCCGUAA